CCUACGGGGUGCAGCAGUGGGGGAUAUUGCACAAUGGGGGAAACCCUGAUGCAGCGACGCCGCGUGGGUGAAGAAGCGCCUCGGCGCGUAAAGCCCUGUCAGCAGGGAAGAAAAUGACGGUACCUGAAGAAGAAGCCCCGGCUAACUACGUGCCAGCAGCCGCGGUAAUACGUAGGGGGCAAGCGUUAUCCGGAUUUACUGGGUGUAAAGGGGGCGCAGACGGCGAUGCAAGCCAGGAGUGAAAGCCCGGGGCCCAACCCCGGGACUGCUCUUGGAACUGCGUGGCUAGAGUGCAGGAGGGGCAGGCGGAAUUCCUGGGGUAGCGGUGAAAUGCGUAGAUAUCAGGAGGAACACCGGUGGCGAAGGCGGCCUGCUGGACCGCAACUGACGUUGAGGCCCGAAAGCGUGGGGAGCAAACAGGAUUAGAUACCCCAGUAGUC
rnacentral:rRNA from 1 species